UCUACACCUGUCUCAAAAACAGACAGUGGUUGGAUAAAUUAAUUUUGUAUGCUGUGUGAGUGUAGGGAUUGCUGUAUGCAUUAUUAACAAGUGCAUUGGUUGUGGGAAGAAAUGUAUCUGUCCGAGUGCGACCCCUGCUUUUAGACAGGUGUGAGCAACUCCAGACAGUCAGCCCAGCCCAGGUCAGUCCGAAUGCUACCCCCUCCUCUUGCCCUGCCUUCAAAUAGAGGAAUUGAGGGCAGUAGGUGAAGAAAACGUGAAAGGAAUGAGGGAUGGAAAGCCCCAAAUGAGGCUGCCAGAGGCCAACUGCCGAAAAAUGAACAAAGGGAAGCAGUUCCUUAUACAGAAGGAUGAAUCAUCAGAUUCAGAGGAGCCUGCAGAGGGAUGGAAAGCAAAUAAUCAUGGCACUCCUCCCCCUACUCUCUGUCCUCCUUGCUCUCUUUGUCAUAUCAAAGCCCUGCCACAGAAUACACAGCAGUGGGCUAUAGCAUCACUCCUGACUGCUCGUCUAGUUUGUCAUGUCAUGUACUUUUGUUACAUCUGAGAUUGCCAACAGACAUCACAACAGAGCCGCUAUGUGUUGAUGGGCCAAAAAUAUCAGUGAAAGUUGAAUAUGCCAAAAAAUAACAUUCUUUAGAAACCUGGUACAAAUAUGAUGAUGCAGAGUAAAAAAAA